ACUCUAGGAUUGAUCCCAAUCCACUUGUAUUAAGGUGGAUUGGAGUGUAACUUAGUUUAAAUUACACUUCAAUCCACCUCAAUACAAGUGGAUUGGAGUCAAUACUAGA
rfam:Zea mays cultivar B73 chromosome 3, whole genome shotgun sequence.